rnacentral:rRNA from 1 species
GAUGAACGCUGGCGGCGUGCCUAAUACAUGCAAGUCGAGCGAACGGACGAGAAGCUUGCUUUUCUGAUGUUAGCGGCGGACGGGUGAGUAACACGUGGAUAACCUACCUAUAAGACUGGGAUAACUUCGGGAAACCGGAGCUAAUACCGGAUAAUAUUUUGAACCGCAUGGUUCAAAAGUGAAAGACGGUCUUGCUGUCACUUAUAGAUGGAUCCGCGCUGCAUUAGCUAGUUGGUAAGGUAACGGCUUACCAAGGCAACGAUGCAUAGCCGACCUGAGGGGGUGAUCGGCCACACUGGAACUGAGACACGGUCCAGACUCCUACGGGAGGCAGCAGUAGGGAAUCUUCCGCAAUGGGCGAAAGCCUGACGGAGCAACGCCGCGUGAGUGAUGAAGGUCUUCGGAUCGUAAAACUCUGUUAUUAGGGAAGAACAUAUGUGUAAGUAACUGUGCACAUCUUGACGGUGCCUAAUCAGAAAGCCACGGCUAACUACGUG